CCAUGAGCUCAGACGGAACGGAUGCGCGAUGACGAGCGCAUGGUACGCACCUAUGUAAAACGGAUCGUAUCGUGGUGCGUGCUCGCAAGAUCCAGUACUCACGUCGCAAACAGGCAAGAGUGAGUUGCGAACCUGCGUGCAGAUGGAUUACGAAAUAGCGAGUGUGCAAGUCGCCCUUUCGCCCUAAUAAGCCCGUCUUGGUCUAGGAUAGGGUUAAGAGAAAGUAACUUGCUGGAUUUUAGGAGAGUCUUUUUCGCAGACAGACUACUAAGCUCAUCCGGAAAUAGCUCGGAUUGCAUUCUUCUCAACCAAAGGAAUUUUGCUCUCUGAAUCUCGUCGGGUUGAAGAGGAGGCACUGCUAUUAGUGACUUAAUGGUGAGAGCACUGAUUGAGUUGGGAUAUUUUCCACUUCCCAGAAGCGGCGAAGAUCUGCAUCGAGAUUUUCUAACAACGUAG